UGGAGGUAGGGACUAAAAUGUCGUUGAGCUGAAGCCAUUCUAUAAAUUUAUAAACCUGCUUAUCUUCAGCAAUUCCAAUAGGCGAUUCAUCGUCAUUGGCCUCGCAGUGAAACUCAGUUUGGAAAAUGCAACGUAAAAAUUCAUUCCUUCAGCUGGCUAAGCAAAGUCAUUUAAGUUUUCGAUACCUUUUAGUAAAUCAUGUAAGAAAUAGAUACAAAGGCAACAACAGAAAGAUAGAAGGGAGAGUUGAUAAAUUUCAGCCGCAGAAUUUUUCUGUGGAAUUUUUCAAACUGCAGUUAGAAUCUUAGAUGAGUUAAAAAAGAGCACAGCAAGAAACAGUCAGGCAAAAAAAAGCACACACGCUUUUCUCUUUGGAGCGGCACGUGUUUGGAAGGGAAAACACGAUCGAGUUUAAAAAAAGGCAGAAAACAGAAGAAUUCAUGGGUUCAUAAACAGUGGGUACCGGGUGAUAAUAAUCAUAAAAUAAAAGUUCUAUCAGAAAGAUAGACUUGUUCCAUUACACAGCAGUUAAUCGGAUUUUGGACACUGAACAGAUUGAGCAGUGUUUUAAAGAAAAUGGAAUACAGUAGCCGAUUUUGCUGAGUGCAUUUGACUUAGAAAUAUACAGUUUGCUUCAAAGUUUGGCCCAACUGAGUGGCUGGAACAGGGUAGCCUUGACCAUACUGCCACCAACUCCAAGAUGAAUGGAAGGAUGCCCUCACCUUGGGAGAACCAGCCAGGACUUAGAGGUGCUGAUUGACCAAUCCAGUUGUCUGGGAGAGUGUAAGUGAGACUACAUCAAGAGGCUGAUGAGGGAUAGCCCAAGCCAGGACUCAAUGCAUCAUAAUUCCACUCUCCGAACAUGGACCCGUCUCCUGCUCAGGAUCCUGUCGAACCCAUGCAGGCUGGCUGCACUAGCCUCUCUGCUGAUGAGACGUCCCAGUGUUGGAAUCAAGGUUGAUGCUUUUACUGUGGGGAAGCAGGCAGUCUGAGGGCUGAGUGAGCAAAGCUACAACCACUUCGGGAACUGCUAAGAUUGUUCAGUGUUGGGAGGACUGUGACGGUAGCAUGUGACCUAACCCCAUGGAUUCUGGUUUUGUGCUGAAGGUGGAGGUCACUUGGGGUAAGAACUUCAUACAGGCAGCUACUUGCGAAACAAGGCUUGGUUUUAAGCUGGAAAAGAGUUCAAGGAGCUUCAGGAGAGUUCCAAGCAUUUGGCUUUUGUGAGUAUAAAGAAUCAGAAUUUACUCAGCGUGCAUGAAGGCUAUUGCAUGAACUUCAUGUGAGAGACAAAAAGCUGCUCGUAAAAGUACUUGCAAGGACCAAAGCCCAGCUGUGUGAAUGGAAGACCAAAAAGAAGGGAGUCAAUGGAGGUACUAAAACAGAGAAUUCGUCAGAUGUUGUGUAGAUGAAGAAACUAAGAGGAGAGGUCAGGUCGUAUAGCGAGCAAUAGAAAGAUUAAUAAGGGAGUAUUCCAGUGAACUCAAUGAACCUUCCCAAGAUCAAGAUGCACAAGCUAGAAGAAGAACAAGGAAGGAGAAGAAAGAUGUCCAGAGCUGUCAGACCCAUUUCCUGCAUUCGGAGAGUCAACUCCUACAACCACCAUGGAGGAGAGCCAAACUGAGGUUGUUUCACAGCCACAUCUCACCUGCCAAGCAGAGAUGAACUCCUUGCCAGGAGAGACAUUACCCCACAAGAGUAAGAAAUCCACCACUGCGAUUAAUUCCUAAUGCCUGACUGGGACAAUUUAAAAUAUAUUGUACUUUAGAUGUCUAAGUAGUAGUUGUAUUAUAUAGUAUACUGUUUAUAUUGAGUUGGAGUUUAUAGCUAAGCAGGGAGGAGUGUUGGGUAUGUAAUAUUUUAAUAAUAUUGUAAAUAUAUCGCUUGAUUAAGCAUUCUUUGUUGUUUACAUAAUGCAUUGCAGGUUAUUUGUAAAAGUACAUAAAUGGCAUAUAUCAUCACACCACCUUGUGAUAUGUGCGCACCUCACUUAAGUUAUGUUCACAUUUUGGACUCUCAGUCUUUUCCUUUAAAUUAGUUUUGUGAUUUGGAGUUAUGAAACGUGACAGACCCAAGCUGUAUUAGCAUCUCACUAAUUGAUAAGCUACUGCGGCACCCAGAUCUGGGAUAAUUUAGACUCUCUCUCCUCAGAUGCUGUUUCUGUUUUUGUAUUAAACUGAGAUGUUAUUUUAAAACAAAAACAAGUUCUUGCUAGCUAUGACAUGAAUCACUCAACUGCUUUUGCAACAACAUGAUCAGCCACUCAUAACAUGAUGGAUGCAGUGUUAGUAAAAGUAUGUGCUAAUAACCAGUCUCUGUGAGAAACUGCCUUCGAUGUGCUGGGUAAGGUUAAUGUGCUGGCUCACAUCAGAUUCUCUGUUCUGAGACACUAAUUUGUGCUAAUUUGAAUGUGGGAUUAAAAGAAUCUCAAAAUUGUAGUGAAAACAUUUUAUCACACUUACGUUACAUAAUAAAGUCUUGUGCGGUGUCCUCCAUGACCUCAGGAUAGCCCAGCUCCAAUUUUUGAGUUAAUAUUGUAACACAGGAGCUAUGGCAAAAAAGUUCUGUAUUACAAGCUCACACAAGCAGCAAUGUGAUAAUUUCAGAUGAGGGUUUGAUGUUAUUCAAUGCUGUGAAAGGCACGUUAAAGUUUUGAAUGCGAUCUCCCAGGAAUGUAGUUAUUGUACUUGGUAGAAGGUGUCUUGCACACGUUCUGCAAAUGAAUGGGCUGAAGAACAAAUGUAGUGUUCUCGCUCGGGUGUAACGGAACGACGAGCUAAACACCGAGAUAAACCUUUGUCAAUAACGACAGGAUCACAGUAAGAUUAACCGUUUACUGUUCACUCUUCCACAUUGACGUAUGGUGAAAACUGUUGAUAAAACAA